AGAGUUUGAUCCUGGCUCAGGACGAACGCUGGCGGCGCGCCUAACACAUGCAAGUCGAACGAGCGAGAGAGAGCUUGCUUUCUCAAGCGAGUGGCGAACGGGUGAGUAACGCGUGAGGAACCUGCCUCAAAGAGGGGGACAACAGUUGGAAACGACUGCUAAUACCGCAUAAGCCCACAGCUCGGCAUCGAGCAGAGGGAAAAGGAGCAAUCCGCUUUGAGAUGGCCUCGCGUCCGAUUAGCUAGUUGGUGAGGUAAUGGCCCACCAAGGCGACGAUCGGUAGCCGGACUGAGAGGUUGAACGGCCACAUUGGGACUGAGACACGGCCCAGACUCCUACGGGAGGCAGCAGUGGGGAAUAUUGCACAAUGGGGGAAACCCUGAUGCAGCGACGCCGCGUGGAGGAAGAAGGUCUUCGGAUUGUAAACUCCUGUUGUUGAGGAAGAUAAUGACGGUACUCAACAAGGGAGUGACGGCUAACUACGUGCCAGCAGCCGCGGUAAAACGUAGGUCACAAGCGUUGUCCGGAAUUACUGGGUGUAAAGGGAGCGCAGGCGGGAAGACAAGUUGGAAGUGAAAUCUAUGGGCUCAACCCAUAAACUGCUUUCAAAACUGUUUUUCUUGAGUAGUGCAGAGGUAGGCGGAAUUCCCGGUGUAGCGGUGGAAUGCGUAGAUAUCGGGAGGAACACCAGUGGCGAAGGCGGCCUACUGGGCACCAACUGACGCUGAGGCUCGAAAGUGUGGGUAGCAAACAGGAUUAGAUACNCUGGUAGUCCACACCGUAAACGAUGAUUACUAGGUGUUGGAGGAUUGACCCCUUCAGUGCCGCAGUUAACACAAUAAGUAAUCCACCUGGGGAGUACGACCGCAAGGUUGAAACUCAAAGGAAUUGACGGGGGCCCGCACAAGCAGUGGAGUAUGUGGUUUAAUUCGACGCAACGCGAAGAACCUUACCAAGUCUUGACAUCCUGCGACGCACAUAGAAAUAUGUGUUUCCUUCGGGACGCAGAGACAGGUGGUGCAUGGUUGUCGUCAGCUCGUGUCGUGAGAUGUUGGGUUAAGUCCCGCAACGAGCGCAACCCUUACUGUCAGUUACUACGCAAGAGGACUCUGGCAGGACUGCCGUUGACAAAACGGAGGAAGGUGGGGAUGACGUCAAAUCAUCAUGCCCUUUAUGACUUGGGCUACACACGUACUACAAUGGCGUUAAACAAAGAGAAGCAAGACCGCGAGGUGGAGCAAAACUCAGAAACAACGUCCCAGUUCGGACUGCAGGCUGCAACUCGCCUGCACGAAGUCGGAAUUGCUAGUAAUCGUGGAUCAGCAUGCCACGGUGAAUACGAUCCCGGGCGUGUACACACCGCCCGUCAA
rnacentral:rRNA from 1 species